ensembl:snRNA U6 U6 spliceosomal RNA
UUGCUUCAGCAGCACAUAUACUAAAAUUGAAACAAUACAGAGAAGAUUAGCAUGGCCUCUGUGCAAGGAUGACAUGCAAAUUUGUGAAGCAUUCCAUAUGUUU